rnacentral:rRNA from 1 species
GAAGGGGGCUAGCGUUGCUCGGAAUCACUGGGCGUAAAGGGCGCGUAGGCGGCCGAUUAAGUCGGGGGUGAAAGCCUGUGGCUCAACCACAGAAUUGCCUUCGAUACUGGUUGGCUUGAGACCGGAAGAGGACAGCGGAACUGCGAGUGUAGAGGUGAAAUUCGUAGAUAUUCGCAAGAACACCAGUGGCGAAGGCGGCUGUCUGGUCCGGUUCUGACGCUGAGGCGCGAAAGCGUGGGGAGCAAACAGGAUUAGAUGCCCUGGUAGUCCACGCCGUAAACGAUGAAUGCCCAGCCGUUGGCCUGCUUGCAGGUCAGUGGCGCCGCUAACGCAUUAAGCAUUCCGCCUGGGGAGUACGGUCGCAAGAUUA